UGGGGACGCAGAGCUGGGGGAAGCUGGCCGGGGGGGGGGGGGACAAGGACAGGGUGAGGGACAGAGACAGGUCAGAGAUGCAGGGGUGAGGACACAGGGACAGGGAAAGGGACGCAAGGGUCGGUCAGACACGCGAGGGAUGCAGAAACGGGGGCGGUGGGGGCACGGCAGGGGACCCAGGUAGGUGUCAGAGGUGUGGGAAGGGGGGUGCGGAGGUGGGGACGCGGGGACAAGGCAGGGGACACGGGGACAGGCCGGGGACGCAGGGACAAGGCUGCGGAGAUGGGGGCAGAGCGGGGGGCACUGGGAGGCAGCGGGGGGCACCGGGACGCCGCGGCUCUGCCCCCUCUCACCCCCUCGCCGCCCCACGGCAGAGCUGAUCCAGACGGAGAUCCACCACGUGCGCACGCUGAAGAUCAUGGGCAGCGUGUUCCGCAGGGCCAUGCUGGAGGAGCUGCAGCUGGACCCGGGCACGGUGCAGAAAAUCUUCCCCUGCGUGGACGAGCUCAGCCAGAUCCACGAGCGCUUCCUGGCGCAGCUCCUGGAGCGCCGCCGCGACUCGCUGGCCCAGGACAGCAACAAGAACUUCGUCAUCAACCGCCUGGGGGACAUCCUCGUGGGCCAGUUCUCGGGCAGCAGCGCGGAGCAGCUGAAGAAAGCCUACUCGGAGUUCUGCAGCAGGCACACCAAGGCGGUGAAGGAGUACAAGGACCUGCUCGCCCGCGACAAGCGCUUCCAGCACUUCGUCCGGAGGAUGGCACGGUCCCCGCUGCUCCGGCGCCACGGGGUGCCCGAGUGCAUCCUGCUGGUCACGCAGAGGAUUACCAAGUACCCGGUGCUCAUCGAGCGCAUCCUGAAAAAC
rnacentral:lncRNA from 1 species